CUGCUGCCUCCCGUAGGAGUCUGGGCCGUGUCUCAGUCCCAGUGUGGCUGGUCGUCCUCUCAGACCAGCUACUGAUCGUUGCUUUGGUGAGCCGUUACCUCACCAACCGGCUAAUCAGUCAUCGGCCGCUCCGCUCGCGAGAGGCCCUUGCGGGUCCCCCUCUUUCUUCCGUAGAACUCAUGUGGUAUUAGCCAACCUUUCGGCUGGUUGUCCCCCCACGAGCGGACACGUUCCGAUGUAUUACUCACCCGUUCG
rnacentral:rRNA from 1 species